AACAGACCGAGUGGAGGAAAUGGAAGUGUGCUGGUGAGACAACCGUUGCUAGGCACCGAACGCCUGUUGGUUAGACAACCGUUGCUAGGCAUCGAACCCCGGAUGACCUUCGCAGCAGGGACAAAAAAUAACUGGACUAUUGACUCAAACACUAUAUCAUGGGCUCCGUGGACUACUCCCUCGUUAAUCCUCAUAAUUAACUGGUGAGCUCAGGAACUCAAAAACACCUGGACAUCUAUGGACGACAGCAGUGGUGGAUGAUCAUAGGACCCUUUCCAUGGUGAAGAAAAACUCCUUCACAAUAUCCUACCAAGUGAAGAACACUCUCCAGGAAGUAUGAAGGUCAAAAGUUUUAUGGCUGUGCAGGAAUGGAAGUUGAUUUUGUACAGCUGCUGGAGAUGAAAGAGGAGAGCCCUCAUUCAUGGCCUCCAGCCCCUCCGAAAAAUGAUUUCACCCUUGCACCCCUGUUAGAAUUUCUUGCGUUUCUGGCAUACUUUUUCCAUUAGCCAACAAGGACAUUUUUGCCUUAUUUGAGAAGACAACUGGCUAAAGGGAUAGAAACACUGAAU